rnacentral:ncRNA from 1 species
ACAAAGAAGAGUUUGAUCCUGGCUCAGGAUGAACGCUAGCGAUAGGCCUAACACAUGCAAGUCGAGGGGCAGCAUAGAGUAGCAAUACUUUGAUGGCGACCGGCGCACGGGUGAGUAACACGUAUGCAACCUACCUACAUCAGGGGAAUAACCC